rnacentral:rRNA from 1 species
GAUGAACGCUGGCGGCGUGCCUAAUACAUGCAAGUCGAGCGAACGGACGAGAAGCUUGCUUCUCUGAUGUUAGCGGCGGACGGGUGAGUAACACGUGGAUAACCUACCUAUAAGACUGGGAUAACUUCGGGAAACCGUAGCUAAUACCGGAUAAUAUUUUGAACCGCAUGGUUCAAAAGUGAAAGACGGUCUUGCCGUCACUUAUAGAUGGAUCCGCGCUGCAUUAGCUAGUUGGUAAGGUAACGGCUUACCAAGGCAACGAUGCAUAGCCGACCUGAGAGGGUGAUCGGCCACACUGGAACUGAGACACGGUCCAGACUCCUACGGGAGGCAGCAGUAGGGAAUCUUGCGCAAUGGGCGAAAGCCUGACGGAGCAACGCCGCGUGAGUGAUGAAGGUCUUCGGAUCGUAAAACUCUGUUAUUAGGGAAGAACAUAUGUGUAAGUAACUGUGCACAUCUUGACGGUACCUAAUCAGAAAGCCACGGCUAACUACGUG